rnacentral:rRNA from 1 species
UACGUAGGGUGCGAGCGUUGUCCGGAAUUACUGGGCGUAAAGAGCUCGUAGGUGGUUUGUCGCGUUGUUCGUGAAAACUCACAGCUCAACUGUGGGCGUGCGGGCGAGACGGGCAGACUGGAGUACUGCAGGGGAGACUGGAAUUCCUGGUGUAGCGGUGGAAUGCGUAGAGAUCCGGAAGAACAUCAGUGGCGAAGGCGGCCUGCUGGGCUGUUGCUGACGCUGAGGCGCGACAGCGUGGGGAGCAAACAGG